CCUACGGGUGGCUGCAGUCGAGAAUCUUCGGCAAUGGGCGCAAGCCUGACCGAGCGACGCCGCGUGCGGGAUGAAGGCCUUCGGGUUGUAAACCGCUGUCAGAGGGGAGGAAAUGCGUGGGGGUUCUCCCCCAUGUUUGACCGAGCCUCAGAGGAAGCACGGGCUAAGUUCGUGCCAGCAGCCGCGGUAAUACGAACUGUGCGAACGUUAUUCGGAAUCACUGGGCUUAAAGGGUGCGUAGGCGGCCUGUUAAGCAGGGUGUGAAAUGCCAGGGCUCAACCUUGGCAUGGCGCCCUGAACUGGCGGGCUUGAGUGAGCUAGGGGUGUGUGGAACUUCCGGUGGAGCGGUGAAAUGUGUUGAGAUCGGAAGGAACACCGGUGGCGAAAGCGACACACUGGGGCUUAACUGACGCUGAGGCACGAAAGCCAGGGGAGCGAAC
rnacentral:rRNA from 1 species